CCUUUCGUCCAGCGGCGGGCCGGGAGCAGCACCGGAGAGCUGGGACCCGCGGUCGCCGUCCGCGGUCCUGGGAAAGGCCGCGGAUAGAUCGGACAGUGAGGCUCCCUGUAGAGCUGUGGUUAAAUCAGUCUGCCCUGUGGCCACCCCGUAGGGCGUCCAGCUUUGUCCAGUAGGCUGCAGUGUCUGCUCAAUGCCGGGUGUAAAUAAAAAACUAUCGAAAUCAGCCAGGCUAAUGUUGCUUUCCAAAAUUAAGUGACUUGGGUGAUGUAGAAAUCGCGACUCAGAAUGUCUAGAAAGCAUGUUCGGAAUGCUUUCCAGAUCUCCACCCUUCAGCAAUUCGGUUUAUUCAAGGUUGAAACAGGGUAACAAGAUUUGUAACCUCUUAACCCUUCUACACCUCUACCAUCGACUCCCUGAUCUCGAAUCGUCAUGGAUUCGACCAUGAAGCAUUCACGAUGGAGCAAACUUUACCUUGAAUUCUUCCAAGAUGAAUUUGAGCCUGCGUGCUUGGGGCUCACACCUAAGUCAUCAACAAGACUCUUGCAGAUUUCUUCUGGAGAGACAGAAAUAUCUGCAGCCAGGAGGACGGCUGUUGGAGGAAUUCAGGAGCAUUCGACGGAGUCUCCUGUAGUCGGCGAGUGGUCAGUUUUACACAUCCUCCUCAGGACCUCACAGGCAAGAACAGCAGGAUCUGCUUCCUUCAUGAAACCUUGGCUCUGUUCUAUCCAUCGACAGUCCUUCAGGAUACCUAACCUGUCCAGAAACCAAGGUGGGUGGGGGGAUGGACAGUACCACUUACCAUUCUCCCAUCAAUCCAUGACAGAAUUUGCUUUGUCUUCUACAGUGUUAUACUUUGCUGGCUGAGAGGCCUUAGUUCCAGCAAGGGAGGCAUCUUACCAGGAGAAAUAAUAAGAAUGGUGUCACUGAGCUGAAAAUUAGACUGCCACUUGGACGCUCUAGGCUCCUUGUGCCUCUGAGUCAACAGGCAAGGAAGGAAGUCAAGGGUGUUGCUGUAGGGUGGGGUGCUGAGUACUGAGGAGAAACUGGGCAACUACUCCACAGGUAAGGGAGGUAAGGAUAAGUGUGUCUGGACUAUAGGAGAAUGGCUCUAGUGAAGGCCCAUUGAAUAAAGGACCAUACCAGCUAAAGUUGCCAAAGGCAACAGAUAUCUACUGUGCAGUAGAAGAUAGUUAUAAAAACCAGCUAUGACCGUAUGGCAAGUCAUAGGAAUAAAAGCUAUAAUUGCUAUGGCUUCUCUCCAUGAAAGAGUGUGUAUUUGUAUGUGUAUUACUGUGCUGGAUAGUUUCAUGCCAACCUGACAUAAGCUGAGUCAUCUGAGAGAAGAGAACCUCAAUUAAGACAAUGCCUUAGUAAGAUCAGGCUGCUGGCAAGGCUGUAAAGCAUUGUCUUAAUGAUUGAUGGGAGAGGGCACAUCCCAUUGUGGGUGGUGCCAUCGCUGUCCUGGAUUCUAUAAAAGCAGGAUGAGCAAGCCAGGACUAGCAAGCCCGUAAGCACAUCACUCCACGGACUCUGCAUCAGCUCCUGCCUCCAGGUUCCUGCCCCACUUAAGUUGCUGGGAAUUGAACUCAGGACCUCUGGAAGAGCAGUCAGUGCUCUUAACCACUGAGCCAUCUCUCCAGCCCUCUUGACUACUUUUUUUUUUUUUUUAUAAAUAAAAUCAUUUAAUUGGGGCUUGAUUACAGUUUCUGAGGGUAAGUCCAUGAUCAUCAUGGCAGGGAACAUGGCAGCAGACAGGCAGGUAUGCUGCUGAAGCAGUAGCUCAGAGCUGGCAUUAUGAUCUGCAAGGUAGAAGCAGAGAGAGAGAGAGAGAGAGAGAGAGAGAGAGAGAGAGAGAGACAGAGACAGAGACAGAGAGAGAGACAGAGAGAGAGAGAGACACACACACAGACAGAGAGCCUCUUGACUACUUUUGAUAAUGAACUGUAAUACGGAGCUAUGAGUGAAAUAAACUCUUUCAUCCUAA
rnacentral:lncRNA from 1 species